rnacentral:snRNA from 1 species
AUCGCUUCUCGGCCUUUUGGCUAAGAUCAAGUGUAAAACUUUUAGGAUCUCUUUAUUCUUGUAAUUCUGAAAAUUACUUGUUUAUUAAUAUCCAGGGUCUUGUAUCAUAUAGCUUAGUGUAUGAUACAGAAUUAGACAG